rnacentral:rRNA from 1 species
ACGUAGGUGGCAAGCGUUGUCCGGAUUUAUUGGGUUUAAAGGGUGCGUAGGCGGUCGAUUAAGUCAGUUGUGAAAUACGGCAGCUUAACUGUCGAGGUGCAAUUGAUACUGGUUGACUUGAGUACAGACGAGGUAGGCGGAAUUGACGGUGUAGCGGUGAAAUGCAUAGAUAUCGGAAGGAACAUCAGUGGCGAAGGCGACUUCCUGGACCAAUACUGACGCUCAGGUGCGAAAGCGUGGGGAGCAAACAGGA